GCUUCCUCUUGGCACCGGACGAGACCUAACCUCAGACAUGGCGCGAGAAUUUUUCGUUGCAGCUUCAUUGCUUUUGGUUUCUUGCAGUGAGGCCUUCGGGUCGCUCGCCAACGUCUCCGUCGUGAUUGAGCCUCGGCUCGGCGAGAGAACACUGGCGUGCGGGUUGAACACGGCGCUGCCGGGCAGCACGACAGUCGUCGGCGCCGGGGAGCAGGUGUGCGUCGCCUCGCCUCGCUUCCCCAACGAC